rnacentral:lncRNA from 1 species
AGAAAUCUCCAUUUAAUUUCUUUCCCGGUCCUCUGAAACAAAAUGGUAAAACGAUUUGAAUAAUCAGUUCAACUCGGUUCAUUAACCAUUACUUUGACUGAAGGAAUGUGGGUUGUGUUGUUUGUUUGUUUAUAGGAAAAUGGACGUGUUCUGGCGGUGGUGGCGACGGAGAGGUUGCCGGCGUGGCUGGAGCCGCUGCUGGGGGCCUCAUUUUUCGCCGGAUGUUCCAUCCACAAGGACGGGAACCGCACGAACCGCACUGAGCGCAACAUGUUCUGCCUCGAUUGCCACGCCGCCGGCGGUG